GUCAUAUGCUUGUCUCAAAGAUUAAGCCAUGCAUGUCUCAGUGCAAGCCGUCCUGUACGGUGAAACCGCGAAAGGCUCAUUAAAUCAGUUAUGGUUCCUUAGAUAGUACCCACGUUACUUGGAUAACUGUGGUAAUUCUAGAGCUAAUACAUGCCGACAGAGUUCCGACCAGCGUCGCGGCGGCUUGCCGUUCGCGACGUUCGGAAGGAGCGCUUUUAUUAGAUCAAAAUCGGCCAAGCGCAACGUUCGCGUAGCGUUAGUGGCCCGCGCAAAGACUUGACGACUCUGAAUAACUUCGAGCUGAUCGCACGGUCUCGCACCGGCGACGUAUCUUUCAAAUGUCUGCCUUAUCAACUGUCGACGGUACGUUCGAUGCUUACCGUGGUGGUAACGGGUAACGGGGAAUCAGGGUUCGAUUCCGGAGAGGGAGCCUGAGAAACGGCUACCACAUCCAAGGAAGGCAGCAGGCGCGCAAAUUACCCACUCCCAGCUCGGGGAGGUAGUGACGAAAAAUAACGAUACGGGACUCAUCCGAGGCCCCGUAAUCGGA
rnacentral:rRNA from 1 species